rnacentral:rRNA from 1 species
CCGGAAUUACUGGGCGUAAAGAGCUCGUAGGUGGUUUGUCGCGUUGUUCGUGAAAACUCACAGCUUAACUGUGGGCGUGCGGGCGAUACGGGCAGACUAGAGUACUGCAGGGGAGACUGGAAUUCCUGGUGUAGCGGUGGAAUGCGCAGAUAUCAGGAGGAACACCGGUGGCGAAGGCGGGUCUCUGGGCAGUAACUGACGCUGAGGAGCGAAAGCGUGGGGAGCGAACAGGAUUAGAUACCCUGGUAGUCCACGCCGUAAACGGUGGGUACUAGGUGUGGGUUCCUUCCUUGGGAUCCGUGCCGUAGCUAACGCAUUAAGUACCCCGCCUGGGGAGUACGGCCGCAAGGCUAAGACUCAAAGGAAUUGACGGGGGCCCGCACAAGCGGCGGAGCAUGCGGAUUAAUUCGAUGCAACGCGAAGAACCUUACCUGGGUUUGACAUGCACAGGACGCUGGUAGAGAUAUCAGUUCCCUUGUGGCCUGUGUGCAGGUGGUGCAUGGCUGUCGUCAGCUCGUGUCGUGAGAUGUUGGGUUAAGUCCCGCAACGAGCGCAACCCCUAUCUUAUGUUGCCAGCGCGUUAUGGCGGGGACUCGUAAGAGACUGCCGGGGUCAACUCGGAGGAAGGUGGGGAUGACGUCAAGUCAUCAUGCCCCUUAUGUCCAGGGCUUCACACAUGCUACAAUGGCCGGUACAAAGGGCUGCGAAUCCGCGAGGUGGAGCGAAUCCCUUGAAAGCCGGUCUCAGUUCGGAUCGGGGUCUGCAACUCGACCCCGUGAAGUUGGAGUCGCUAGUAAUCGCAGAU